rnacentral:rRNA from 1 species
ACUCCUACGGGAGGCAGCAGUAGGGAAUCUUCCACAAUGGGCGCAAGCCUGAUGGAGCAACACCGCGUGAGUGAAGAAGGGUUUCGGCUCGUAAAGCUCUGUUGUUAAAGAAGAACACGUAUGAGAGUAACUGUUCAUACGUUGACGGUAUUUAACCAGAAAGUCACGGCUAACUACGUGCCAGCAGCCGCGGUAAUACGUAGGUGGCAAGCGUUAUCCGGAUUUAUUGGGCGUAAAGAGAGUGCAGGCGGUUUUCUAAGUCUGAUGUGAAAGCCUUCGGCUUAACCGGAGAAGUGCAUCGGAAACUGGAUAACUUGAGUGCAGAAGAGGGUAGUGGAACUCCAUGUGUAGCGGUGGAAUGCGUAGAUAUAUGGAAGGACACCAGUGGCGAAGGCGGCUACCUGGUCUGCAACUGACGCUGAGACUCGAAAGCAUGGGUAGCGAACAGGAUUAGAUACCCUGGUAGGAUAGCG